rnacentral:rRNA from 1 species
CCUCUGGUGUACCAGUUGUCGUGCCAACGGCAUAGCUGGGUAGCUAUGUGUGGACGGGAUAAGUGCUGAAAGCAUCUAAGCAUGAAGCCCCCCUCAAGAUGAGAUUUCCCAACUUCGGUUAUAAGAUCCCUCAAAGAUGAUGAGGUUAAUAGGUUCGAGGUGGAAGCAUGGUGACAUGUGGAGCUGACGAAUACUAAUCGAUCGAAGACUUAAUCAAAA